rnacentral:sRNA from 1 species
GUGCAAUGGAGACCUUGGGGCCUGGUGAGCUAGUGAUGGCUGCUGGGCCCAGGUCCCAACUCGGCGAUUCUUUCCUCAGCCCACCGCUGGUGACACCACCCCAGUCGCCCGUGUCCCCGCAGCCGCCAGCCGUAACUCAGGUCCAUCGGCAGGGGGAGCGUCGCAGGGAGCUGGUGAGGUCGCAGACGCUGCCCCGCACCUCGGAGGCGCAGGCCCGGAAGGCAUUGUUUGAGAAGUGGGAGCAGGAAACGGCGGCCGGCAAGGGCAAAGGCGAGGCCCGGGCCAGGCUGAAGCGGUCGCAGAGCUUCGGCGUGGCCAGCGCCAGCAGCAUCAAGCAGAUCCUGCUCGAGUGGUGCC